rnacentral:rRNA from 1 species
UACGUAGGGGGCAAGCGUUUGUCCGGAAUCAUUGGGCGUAAAGAGCGUGUAGGCGGCCCGAUAAGUCCGCCGUGAAAGUCCAGGGCUCAACCCUGGAAUGCCGGUGGAAACUGUCGGGCUGGAGUCCGGAAGAGGCGAGUGGAAUUCCUGGUGUAGCGGUGAAAUGCGCAGAUAUCAGGAGGAACACCGGUGGCGAAGGCGGUUCUCUGGGAAUGUCCUGACGCUGGAGGAGCGAAAAGUGUGGGGGAGCGAACAGG